UGUCGGGAAUUAUACCGGUCAAUCGUAAUGCUCAUAACCUGAAGGUCAGAGGUUCAAAUCCUCUCCCCGCAACCA
rnacentral:tRNA from 1 species